GAUAUACUUCCUUCGUUCGAAAUUACUUGUCUUGGAAAUGGAUGUAUCUAAAACUAAAAUACGUCUAGAUACAUUCAUUUUUGUGACAAGUAAUUCCGAACAGAGGAAGUAGGUG
rfam:Triticum aestivum genome assembly, contig: Triticum_aestivum_CS42_TGACv1_scaffold_223618_3B